rnacentral:rRNA from 1 species
GACGAGCCACACGAACGUUAUUCGGAAUUACUGGGCUUAAAGGGUGCGUAGGCGGUGCGGAAAGUUGGGUGUGAAAUCCCUCGGCUCAACCGAGGAACUGCGCCCAAAACUACCGUACUUGAGGAAGAUAGAGGUGGGCGGAACUUACAGUGGAGCGGUGAAAUGCGUUGAUAUUGUAAGGAACACCCGUGGCGAAAGCGGCUCACUGGGUCUUUUCUGACGCUGAGGUACGAAAGCUAGGGGAGCGAACGGG